UCCGCAGUGCAUGUUUCAGAACGAUAUUGUGGAAGCUCACGCCUUUGAGGCGGGCGGUACGGAUAUAUUGUGCGGUCAUCACCUCGGUCAUCGAGGCGCGGGUCAUCCGGGCGAUAUAGCCCAUGCCGUAUAGGGCGAUGGUCAGUACCGGCAGGAAGAAGUUCUCGAAUGUGGGGUUG
rnacentral:ncRNA from 1 species